UCAUUCAUCUAGGCUUCUAGGUUGUUCAGAUGUACAACAAAAGGUGUUUUCAGACCGUAUUUUCCUUGACCUUUCACCAAAUGACUCCAAAAUCCAAUGAUCCAUUGAGGCUCCUUGGCGGUUGAGCUGUACAAAAAGGUGUUUUUUUUUAAACAUUAUGAGUUAACAGGUUUUCCC